UUAACGACAUUGAUGGGAAGAAAGGCGAAAUGUCCCGCCUUCAGAGAGCCGGCGGCUGCUGCGAGCCGGUGGGGGACCUUCGCGGAUGACUGUUCCCGGAGUCUCCCGCCUGAACGGACAUAGUAGGGUGGGACGGCAGGCCCCGUUACUGGCCGAGGCCCUCCGGGCCGUUGAGCGCCAUCCGGCAACGGCUGGCGAAACCAGGGUGGUACCGCGUAGCUUUUACGCCCCUGAC
rnacentral:ncRNA from 1 species